UACGGGGGGAGCAAGCGUUGUUCGGAUUUACUGGGCGUAAAGGGCGCGUAGGCGGCCGUCCAAGUCGGGUGUGAAAUCCCUCGGCUCAACUGAGGAACUGCACGGGAAACUACCUGGCUUGAGUUCGGGAGAGGGAAGCGGAAUUCCGGGUGUAGCGGUGAAAUGCGUAGAUAUCCGGAGGAACACCGGUGGCGAAGGCGGCUUCCUGGACCGACACUGACGCUGAGGCGCGAAAGCUAGGGGAGCAAACGGG
rnacentral:rRNA from 1 species